rnacentral:rRNA from 1 species
AUGUUUUUUUCGAGUAAUAAUAACCCUGGUCGUGGCACUUGGGGGGCGCCCGUGGUCAAAGCUUUGCUCACUCGGUCCGCCAGGACCAGUAUGCAUGUACUCCUACGUGCGCGAUCCCCGGCGGGUUGGUUGGUUGCACCCGCCGUGCCGCUCACUCCCUCCCCACUCCCGGUCACUCGUGACCACGGACGGCAUCCAUCUGACCAUCUCCAUCAGUCAACACCCUCCCUUACUCCCAGCCAUGAUUACCAGUGGUAUAUGCUAAACAGUGGAUGGAAUCACGGAAUCACAGAAGAAUCCACGCGCUUGAUUAAAGAAAAACUUCCCACGAGGGCGGGCCGUUCAUCGCAAAAAAAAAGAGCGCUGAUAUCUUGGCCCUUCUGUUGUUGUUUGCAUGGUCCAUACGAUACGAACCUGUGGGCUGUGGCGCGUUGGUAUCGACGCCCGUGCCGAGCCUAUCGCCACCCCUCCGGCCGCCGGCGCUGGGACGAAACGAACGGGACUUGCUUGCACACAAGAGAGACCUAG